GGAGGUAGUGACAAUAAAUCUCAAUACGAAGCCUUUGGUUUUGUAAUUGAAUUGAGAACAAUGUACAAUCGUUAUCGAUAAACAAUUGGAGGGCAAGUCUGGUGCCAGCAGCCGCGGUAAUUCCAGCUCCAAUAGCGUAUAUUAACGUUGUUGCAGUUAAAAAGCUCGUAGUUGAAGUUUAGAUAAUUUAUUGAAAGUGUUUGUAUUCGUACAUUCUACUUUUAUGUAAGUUAUCGACAUCCAGGUGGGUAUCAUAAUCUCGCAAGGGGUCGUGGUACUAGACUGGUCAUUUACUGUGAGAAAAUUAGAGUGUUUAAAGCAGACUUUCUAAAUAGUUUGAAUAGAUUAGCAUGGAAUAAUAAGAUUGGCUUUCAUAGUCGAUUUUUUGGUUUGUUUAUGAAAGCAAGAUUAAUAGGGACAGUUGGGGGUAUUCAUAUUCAAUAGCUAGAGGUGAAAUUCUAUGAUUUAUGGAAGAUGAACAAGUGCGAAAGCA
rnacentral:rRNA from 1 species